UUUGAAAGGGAAAAGUAAAUUACUUACCUUUAAGGUAUACCAAUCAAUGUUGUGAUAUCAAAUAUACCUCUUGAGUUUCCAUCCCGUGGCAACAAAUUCAGGCAACUUUGGUCGACUCCCGCGGCCAAUUUGAUGCAGGAGAACGCGACAUAUUUUCCGUAUAGAAAUUCAAGAUUGCCAUUGACCUCCAAACUAUCAGCAAACUUUAAAAAUCCAAAAACCCAUUGUUUGCAUAAUUGAAC
rnacentral:lncRNA from 1 species